UGCCCAGGUGCGCCGACGGAUCCAAUGGAACCAGUGCCCACUGGUGCAUCUCUAACCACCACCGAUAUGCACCCAAACCACCACCACAUGCAGGUGCAUCGCUCGAUCUGCCGGAGAAAUUCGCCCUCGCCCGCCGACGUAACAGGUCUGCAAUCGCUCAGACGCUCACCGCGUACCCACGCAUCGCCGGCCAGCUCCAUCAUCGCAGCGGGGUGCGGAACCCCUCUCCCGAUGUGCCUGCGUUGACGGCACCAAGGCGGCGCCCCCACACCCGCGUCCGCCUGCGUCGCGGCUGCUGUGAGCGGCGCUCACCACCACCACCACCACGUCCGGCGGACCUGGCUGGAGGCUAAUGUGUCGCGGCCGCCGGUGCCGGUGCGUCGCUGGCCACGGUUGUCUGCGUCGCCAGGCAGCUCCACCAACGCACCGGUGAGUCGCGGAUCCUCCCAACUUGUCGCCGCCCAAUCGGAAUUCGCUAGCACGAAAUUCUGCAGGCAGCAGGAAGCGGUGGCGCAAGCCACCGAAGCAGCGACGGACGGAUACAGCAGGUCAGUCAACUAACCACUUUUGUUCAUCUGCUCCCAAAAUUAGUUCAACCGAUGCUGCCUAUGCAAGCCACGGACACGAGUUCACCAAAAAAAUUAGGAAUCACAGAUAGACAAUAAACCCAAUUUCAUGGCAAUUGCAGUUAUUAGGAUUUUUUAUGGCAGCCACUUUUUUUUUUAUUUCAACCUUAUAUUCGCACGCAGUAAAUAGCCCCCAGUAAAGACAUUUUCAUGACACCAUCACAUCGCAGCGAAAUCAUAGAAAACCAACGAGCAAGCACCCUUCGAUUAUCAUAAUGAGUACGUCGUUCACACUGAUUCCUCACAACCAGAAGCUGACCCCUUGUAUAAGUGCAUAGCAGGCAACACUUCCUAUGGCGUCCACGAUGAUGCCGGGUGAUGCCGAAAAACGAGUUGAGCCGUCGCAACACUUCCUGUGGUUUUUUUUUGUGAGAUGAGAAUGCCUCCCCUUCGCAGAUUGAUUAUUCAUUUUUCUUCUUGUUAAUGGAGGCAUGAAGAUGUAGCGAGUGAGUAUCCAAAACCGUACUUUCAUUUGGUGUGCAGGAUCAGAGGCUCUUGGAGAAGAGGAUUUUACUACUCCCUGUUUUAUCUUGAGGCAUCGGCACCGGCAUCGCAUGAUGUAAGUCGACCUGCCAGUGAAUGUUGCAUUUUUAAUGUUCUAACAUGAAUAUACUGCUAAAGCAUGGCACUCCUUGCAUCGACCUGAAUCUGCUACCCAAAUCAUGCACUUCCUGAGUUGCAACUAGAUGAUACUGACUGUGAACUGCGGCAUGGUCUUUCACAAACUUGUAAGCAGGCAGUUGAUGAUGUCCAUGGUACGGUGGUGCUCAUUUUUACUCCUUGAUCUGGACAACAACAGGCAGUAACAACUACUACUCCAUGAUACACCGCACGGCGAGCAUGCUACAGCAGCAGCUGAUGGCUCCAUGUCCAUGAGUUUAUGACGAUAUAAGAGGCUGGCAAUCUAGUUUUUUCUAUUAUUGUACUCAAGCUACCAUUUUUUGUAAUUUUUUCUCUCAUUCAAAUGAUGUCCACAGUUCUAAAUUUUUUUGUAGUUGUAACAUCACGACCUGCAAUUAAUACUCCCGUAUCAUCUCAAUAUUUUUUUUACUAUGAAUAA